rnacentral:rRNA from 1 species
AGCAGCCGCGGUAAUUCCAGCUCCAAUAGCGUAUAUUAAAGUUGUUGCAGUUAAAAAGCUCGUAGUUGAAUUUCGGGGUUCUACCGUUGGUCGGGCAAUAGUCUGUACUGGCGUGUAGAAUUUCUACCUUCUGGGGAACCAUCAUGUUAUUUAUUUAGCGUGGUGGGAAACCAGGACCUUUACCUUGAAAAAAUUAGAGUGUUCAAAGCAGGCUUACGUCUGAAUACAUUAGCAUGGAAUAAUAAAAUAGGACGGUGGUCCUGUUUUGUUGGUUUCUGAAUCACCGUAAUGAUUAAUAGGGAUAGUUGGGGGCAUUAGUAUUCAAUUGUCAGAGGUGAAAUUCUUGGAUUUAUUGAAGACUAACUUCUGCGAAAGCAUUUGCCAAGGAUGUUUUCAUUAAUCAAGAACGAAAGUUAGGGGAUCGAAGACGAUCAGAUACCGUCGUAGCCUUAACCAUAAACUAUGCCGACUAGGGAUCGGACGAUGUUAAUUUUUCUUGACUCGUUCGGCGCCUUACGGG